rnacentral:rRNA from 1 species
CGUCGAGAAAUCGGUGCUAAUACCGGAUACUCCUUGCGGAUCGCAUGGUCUGCUCGGGGAAAGCUCCGGCGGAGAGGGAUGGCCCCGCGGCCCAUUAGCUAGUUGGUGAGGUAAUGGCCCACCAAGGCGACGAUGGGUAGCCGAGCUGAGAGGCUGAUCGGCCACACUGGGACUGAGACACGGCCCAGACUCCUACGGGAGGCAGCAGUGGGGAAUUUUGCACAAUGGGCGAAAGCCUGAUGCAGCAACGCCGCGUGCGGGAUGAAGGCCCUCGGGUUGUAAACCGCUUUCAGCAGGGACGAAUAUGACGGUACCUGCAGAAGAAGCCCCGGCUAACUACGUGCCAGCAGCCGCGGUAAUACGUGGGGGGCAAGCGUUAUCCGGAUUCAUUGGGCGUAAAGCGCGCGUAGGCGGCUUGUUAAGUCAGAUGUGAAAACCGGGGGCUCAACCCGCGGCCUGCAUCUGAAACUGGCAGGCUUGAGUCUGGUAGAGGAAAGUGGAAUUCCUGGUGUAGCGGUGAAAUGCGCAGAUAUCAGGAGGAACACCAGUGGCGAAGGCGGCUUUCUGGGCCACGACUGACGCUGAGGCGCGAAAGCUAGGGGAGCAAACAGGAUUAGAUACCCUGGUAGUCCUAGCCGUAAACGAUGGGCACUAGGUGUGGGGGGUCAUCGACUCCCUCCGUGCCGAAGCUAACGCAUUAAGUGCCCCGCCUGGGGAGUACGGCCGCAAGGCUAAAACUCAAAGGAAUUGACGG